rnacentral:lncRNA from 1 species
GUUUAAUCUAGUGUGUGACUGAGAUCUGUGUGAGGGAGCGAGUGUGAGUGUGAGGUAUUGAGGCGAGGCGAAGGCUAGAAAAGGGGUUUCCCUCAGGAAAGAGGGACAAAGGGGGCGUGAGGUACCUAGUUCGCGGGACCCCGGCGACAGGAAGCCGCCCUGAGCCGGGCUACCGGGUAGGGGAAGGGCCCGCGCAGUCUUCACAGGGCCCCAGAGCCCGAGUCGGCCCCACAUCCCCGGGCCGUCGGCUACCUACUUCCUCCACCUCCCGGCGCGGAGGCCUGAGGACUGGUUCCGCGGGGUUGGGGGUUGCAGACUUAAGGAGCUACUCGUUGUCUCGCAACUCCACUGCUGAGGAACUCUCAUUUCUUCCCUCGCUCCUUCACCCCCCACCUCAUGUAGGAGGGUGCUGAGGAAUUGGGAGGGAGGAGGAGCCUGGCCUACCGUCCCUUCCCUCCCCACCACCUUCUAGGGGCACUUUGGUGGGCGUGGAUUUAGGGUGGGGGGGUG